rnacentral:lncRNA from 1 species
UGAGGUUAUUUUCUAUUCUAGAUUAGUUAUUUGUUUAUAUUAAAACCCUGCAUUGCGUGUGACUUGUUCUGCGAAUGUUCUGCAGGACAAGCGAGCAUUCCUGAUAAAUUCUACCUUGGUAACCAAGCAACGUUGUGUAUUCCAAGUCGUGCGCAACGCUGACCGUCACAUGAUCACAACCGAGCCAGUGGCCCCCAGCCCACUGUGGGACUGUGGGUGAUCCUCUCCCAACUGUGAGAGGUGAUGUAGGAGAUCUCUGCAGAGAAAGAGAAAAAGGAGGAGCCCCUCAUUUCAACUGAGAUUAGGGAGAUGUUCCCUCUGGCCAGACCGUCAUCUCCAUGGGGAGCCCUGGGUGAUCAUGGCUAUGGAGGAACAAGAAAACAGCCUGUUGCUAAACACAGGUGCAAGUCUCUCCGUCCUUCUUUUCAAUCCUGGCCUUCCUUCCAGCCGUCACACCUCAGUGACAGGAGUCACCAGUGAGGAGGGGGGAAGAAGCCGAGUGGUGUGUGGCUGUUGGAACAGGAACUUGGAGGCAGAAGGAGGCGAAUCAUCUGUUCUCACAGAUGCUUGAAUCUGCUACAAGAUCACCGUGGGGUUCUGGGCUGCAACUCCCAGGGAGCCCCUGACCCCAGCUCUGACACUAAUGAUGCCUUUUAUUAUUUGCUGACCUAUGUCUAAAAUCUAUAAUUAUCAUUCUGCAUUGAUUAUUGGUAGGGAGAGAGCAUGUUAUAAUUUUUUCAAAUUAUAUAAAUUAUCUUUGAGACUCCUUUUUGGAAAAUUUUCUAUGACUAUAUCUGCCUUUGUUUCUGCUUGUAUAGAAAUUAAAUUUUUGCCUUUUCCUGCAAAAUUAUCUUUUAUAGCCUGCUGGAUGAUGAUAAUA